rnacentral:rRNA from 1 species
UACGGAGGGGGCUAGCGUUGUUCGGAAUUACUGGGCGUAAAGCGCACGUAGGCGGCUUUGUAAGUUAGAGGUGAAAGCCCGGGGCUCAACCCCGGAAUAGCCUUUAAGACUGCAUCGCUUGAACACGGGAGAGGUGAGUGGAAUUCCGAGUGUAGAGGUGAAAUUCGUAGAUAUUCGGAAGAACACCGGUGGCGAAGGCGGCUCACUGGCUCAUUUCUGACGCUCAGGCGCGACAGCGUGGGGAUCAAACAGG